GUCUACAUGCGACUUUGGUCUAUGAGUGAUAUAAGUGAUAUUUGCAGUGAUAUGUGGUGAAAGCACAUUUCAGAUUGCCUGUAGAAAUUUGCUACGCCCGUCCCCCGACUAACUCUAUGCAAGGGAACCAGACAAUGGAAACUGAUCUUUGGCUACGUGACUUUUCAAACAGUGACCUCCCCUCACCGUCCUUUGGAUUCACUUUUACAAAAGCAAUGUAGCUCUGCGAUCCUUGGGCCCUGGAUACUGAUGUCCACAUCUCCAUGCCCAAAGCUCGUCCUGCCUGAACAA